UACGUAGGGUGCAAGCGUUGUCCGGAAUUAUUGGGCGUAAAGAGCUCGUAGGCGGUUUGUCGCGUCUGCUGUGAAAACUCGGGGCUUAACCCCGGGCCUGCAGUGGGUACGGGCAGGCUAGAGUGCGGUAGGGGAGACUGGAAUUCCUGGUGUAGCGGUGAAAUGCGCAGAUAUCAGGAGGAACACCGGUGGCGAAGGCGGGUCUCUGGGCCGUAACUGACGCUGAGGAGCGAAAGCGUGGGGAGCGAACAGG
rnacentral:rRNA from 1 species